rnacentral:rRNA from 1 species
UACGAAGGGGGCUAGCGUUGCUCGGAAUCACUGGGCGUAAAGCGCACGUAGGCGGCUGAUUAUUAGCAGGGGUGAAAUCCUGGAGCUCAACUCCAGAACUGCCUUUGAUACUGGCGAGCUGAGUCGGGAGAGGUGAGUGGAACUGCGAGUGUAGAGGUGAAAUUCGUAGAUAUUCGCAAGAACACCAGUGGCGAAGGCGGCUCACUGGCCCGAGUACUGACGCUGAGGUGCGAAAGCGUGGGGAGCAACAGG